rnacentral:rRNA from 1 species
GAUGAACGCUGGCGGCGUGCCUAAUACAUGCAAGUCGAGCGAACAGACGAGGAGCUUGCUCCUCUGACGUUAGCGGCGGACGGGUGAGUAACACGUGGAUAACCUACCUAUAAGACUGGGAUAACUUCGGGAAACCGGAGCUAAUACCGGAUAAUAUAUUGAACCGCAUGGUUCAAUAGUGAAAAGACGGUUUCGCUGUCACUUAUAGAUGGAUCCGCGCCGCAUUAGCUAGUUGGUAAGGUAACGGCUUACCAAGGCAACGAUGCGUAGCCGACCUGAGAGGGUGAUCGGCCACACUGGAACUGAGACACGGUCCAGACUCCUACGGAGGCAGCAGUAGGGAAUCUUCCGCAAUGGGCGUAAGCCUGACGGAGCAACGCCGCGUGAGUGAUGAAGGUCUUCGGAUCGUAAAACUCUGUUAUUAGGGAAGAACAAAUGUGUAAGUAACUAUAGCACGUCUUGACGGUACCUAAUCAGAAAGCCACGGCUAACUACGU